AGAGCGAACGCUGGCGGCAGGCCUAAUACAUGCAAGUCGAACGGAUCCUUCGGGAUUAGUGGCGGACGGGUGAGUAACGCGUGGGAACGUGCCCUUUGGUUCGGAACAACUCAGGGAAACUUGAGCUAAUACCGAAUGUGCCCUUCGGGGAAAGAUUUAUCGCCAUUGGAGCGGCCCGCGUCUGAUUAGCUAGUUGGUGGGGUAAAGGCCCACCAAGGCUACGAUCAGUAGCUGGUCUGAGAGGAUGAUCAGCCACACUGGGACUGAGACACGGCCCAGACUCCUACGGGAGGCAGCAGUAGGGAAUCUUGCGCAAUGGGCGAAAGCCUGAUCCAGCAAUGCCGCGUGGGUGAAGAAGGUCUUCGGGAUUGUAAAGCCCUUUCGACGGGGACGAUGAUGACGGUACCCGUAGAAGAAGCCCCGGCUAACUUCGUGCCAGCAGCCGC
rnacentral:rRNA from 1 species